CUGCACGUACUCUGACUGCUCAAGGUUCAGCCAGUUGUUUACUGUGUGGGACCCCUCACCAACUUAAAGCUACAUGCAUGGGUCAGUGUGAACAUGCGAGGACAGCCAGCCUCCACGGCAGCGCAAGGACAGAGCCUGGGACUUGUCCAGGCCUGCCCAAAAAUGAUAACUGUAACCGCAACCAGUCAAUUCAAAGGUUACAUACCUUCACCCAAUCACAUGAUGCCGAGGCUUGUACCACCCUGCUUGUGUUUUUUUUCCCUUUAAAAACGCCUCACCCUGGGAGCUCAGGGCCGUCCUCCUUCACCUGGCUAGCCAGUGUGUUGGACGCGGACCAAGCCGGGGUUUGCUUGUGAUCAAUAGAUGCCUGUGUGGUGUGUUUUGCAUCGGAUAUCGGCUCUGUGGUGGUCUUGCUCUGGGCUCUCGCGAUGCAGCCACAGGCAGCACAAAUAAAUUAUCUAAACAUCAAACUGGGACACGGUUCCGGGCAGCAGAGCCACCGUGUCCUGGGAGCAGAGGUCUUGCAGCUGUUUUGUGUCAAAUGACUCAGAUGCCACACAGCAAACAGCCAACAAAAGUGUCCUCGGAAACCUGACUUUUUAAAAUCUGGUCCCCUUACCCGAAGGGCAAGGCCCGGAAGUGUUUCUCUGCUGAGUGGGAGAGGCAGAAGCUGCCUCCAAGCAGUGAUUCCUUCCAGAGAAGCAGUCUAUGUUCAAAGGUCCCUCCUUGAGUUCCUGCCCUGACUUCCCUCCAUGGCGGACUGUGAGCUGUGAAUCAAAUAAACCUUUCCUCUCCAAGUUGCAUUUGCCCUGUGCUUUUUCAUGUGACAGAAACGAAACUAGAACAGUGGUCAAGAGCACUUGCUGCACAGUCGUGGGGCUGCAGCCUGGAUCCCAGCACCCGCGUAACCAGCCCAACAUGCCAACGCCAGGAGGGGCAGAGAUGGAAGGACGGCUGAGCCUCGCAGACUUCCAAUCUAGCUGAAUGAGCCCCAGGUGCAGGGAAGACGCCUGCCCGGAAGGAAUAGGCAAGAGCGAUAGAGGAGGCCAUCUGGUACCCUCUUCUGGCCUCUACACGUGUGUACACGUGCAUGCAUCCAGAGACUACAUGUGUGCUUAUACUCACACAGGGACAGGAGUACCUCAACCAAAAAAAAUCAAUUAAAAAAACCAUUUGGGGCCUCAGUUUCUUUGCUUGUUUUAACCCGCGUGCCGCACACAUUAAAGGAUGAGUACGACAGACUUCUCAAAACAGGAGAGUGUCAAUUUGGGAGCCCUCCAAAGUGUAUAGGACCUUGUAAAUGCCUCCGACCCUCCACCUCACAACUCCAAACAGGGUCUGCUGCUGGGGAGGGGGACAGAGAGGUUUGUC